AGAGUCUUUUAAAUUCACAAAAGUUACCAGUUUGGAUUUCGAAUUAUGACCGUUGGGGCUCUCAGACGCUCUACCAAAUUCUAACAUCUCCAUCUCCGGUGAAGUAAUUGAGAAGCUGUAGAAAAGCGUCGAGCUUCCGUUGUCGUCGAUCUCAGCGAAGAGGAAAGAAACGAAGCCGUUAGAGAAAGAUCUAGUGCAAUAGGAGGCGAUGUUGAAGAAGGAAGAUUUUUUGAAGGAGAAAAGACGAGAUCCUGAGGAAGAAGAAGGAGAAAGCAUUGAUCGUGUUCGCCAGAGAGACUUCCAUCAACGGUAACAAUACUCGUUAUACCUUCAGGAUUCUUUUCUGGUUAAGUCCCCAUCGUUAAGCUGAAGAAAGAGGUACUCCAACUACACGACAAGUAGAGCAAGCUCGCACCGAGAUUGAGAAUCUUUGACGAAUGGUUGGAGAAGAAAACAACCCGAAAAAGAGACACUAUCAAAAUUCUCAGUAGAAUUCAAUGUCUGUUAUAUUCACUUCACUUGUUAGUUUUACAUAAAGCGUAGAUGUUAUGUCACUACCAAAUAUUAGUAUGUCUUUGUCCAGGUUCCGAUGGAACAUCAAUACCUCAAGCUGAGGGUGUCCCGUACAGGGGACUCUGAGAAUACAACACAAACUAAGUUCACUGCUCCAAUAUAUCCCUCGGGAGUUGGCCAAACUGGAAAGUGAGUUGAGAAGCCUGGUUAGGCUUCGAUUGAUUCUAUCACAACUGCAUUACUGACGGAGAAGGACCUCGAGGUUGAAAUUGUAGCUCGAUAUAAUCCAAUCACCAGCUAAAGAACGAGGUAUUCAACGUAGCACAACAACUAGAGCAAACUCGUACCGAGAUUGAGGAUCUUCGACUAAUGGUUGGAGAAGAAAAACAACCAGAAUAAGAGAAAAUAUCACAAUCAGUUGAGUUAAAUGUUUGUUAUACUCACUGUUUCACUGCCAAUUAUUAAUUUGUCUUUGUCUAGGUUCUGAUAGAAUAUAUCAAUACCCCAAGCUGAGGGCUAAAGAUGAUAAAAAUGAUUCAAACUCGAGGAUUCAUGAUCUUCAGAGGAUGAUCAGAGCUCUGCCACUGGUGGUUAAGCCACUAUGCAGAGAGCUACACAGUUGAAAUCUUGAUUUCACUGAACGAAGUUAACAAUUAUUUUAAUUAUAUUCCACAAAGUUUGAUGCUGAUCGUUUGUGUCUAGUUAAUGCAAAACAGUUUAUGAUUUUUUCCUUUUUCAUAGUCGUGAGUACGAUCCAAGUGUUUGCGUUUCCAUGUUAUAAUACCUUAAAUGCAAACACAAAGAAACAAUCAGCCUAGUUUCAGGAAGCUAAAGAAUCUAUGAAACGAGAGGAUAGCUGCUUUAAGAAUAGGAGGAAGAUCUUGAGACGCUUAAGGUGGAGCUCAAAAAAAUGGAAAAGAUGAAUGACAUCAUGCCCUUGCUAGAUCUACCUCUGAGCUUGUUGAUGGUUGGCUAGCUUUGAUUAAUAUGCUUGAUGGAAGUUUCAGCUUAGUUUUCAGACCAAUUUUCCCCACAUAUUACUACCAAAUUUUUUGCAUAAUUAGUUCUUUGAAUCCUCGCUUACUUGGUAAUGCCUUGAGAUAUAAUAGUAAUUACAAAUAUGUUUACUAUGUUCCUUUUCCAUAAUUACUACCUUAUGGGAGAAUUAUAUGUUUUUCUCAUGUAGCCAUGAAUACCAGGUUACCAUGGAAACGUCCUAGUUACAUUGGAAACAAAUUGGUAUGUCUAUAAGAUUUCAGGGUAGAGUUUGAAUCAAGUAGCAUUGCUAUGCCUGGUCAGAGAAGAGAGGUCUUCAUGGUAUCCGGCCCUAUGCUGGUGAACUUAUUCAUAUCCAAGCUUGAUCUUGAUUAAAUGAUUAUCCUUCUGCUGAAAGAAAGGAAGCUUCCAAAGAUUAUUGCCGGCUAUGAACAUAACAUAGAUGAGAUAAACACAAUUUUUCUUUUCUUUCUAAUUUGAUCAAACUUUUCUAUUAGAAAAUUUGACUUAAAGAAAUAUCUUCCAGGUUGUUUAAGACAGAUUUAAUCGCCUUGAUAGCCUUAUAAACUCCAAUUUUUCGGGAGCAAGAGUACUUUGCAGUUCUGGCGACACGGCUACCUAAAGAUCUCAGGAAAAUGGCAUUCGUGAGGCGAUUUCCCAUAUUCCCUUUGAGACCUACGAUUAUGUGUUGUGCUCUUUGAAAUGUCUUCUUUUGGGUCCACUUUUGGCGACAUGCUCAUUUAUUAUCAUGUAAUGAGGAAAAGAGAACCUUGUGACAUUUUGUGAAGUUAUAUACCAGGUCAUGAGAGAGAAAAAGAUUUCCGCUCACUGUUCUAUUCAUAAAUUAAAGGUGUGUCUUUUCAAUUAUGUCUCAAAUACUAUCAUUUUAUUCUAUGUUUGUUGCCAUUUAUGUGACUGUUAAUUUUGCAGCAGUUGAUUUUGUUCAUGAUCUUUCCCACAGAAGAACAAAAACUAAUUUGUAGAAAUGGGGGGCUCUGAAGUUUCAGUAACUAGAACAGUUUCAGCUCCUCCUUUCUUCUGGUGGGCCUGGUUUUCUUCCCAUCACAUACAUCGUUAUUGGAAACAAAGCUGAUAUUGCUGAGAAGGACGGAACAAGUGGAAGUAGUGGCAAUCUUGUUGAUGGGUUGACAAGCAUGGUCUGCUUCCCCAUAGUGAUGGACUUCCUCUCUGAGAACUUCCCUUGCAAUGGUGGUCUCAUAAUGGCCUUCAAGGAAACUAGUUAUGACAAAGAAGCUUUGAAAUGAUAUGAAUAAGACAAAUGCAGUUUCUGCGAGUAUAGUAAGUGCCAGUAGGGACGAGGACCAAGCGCAGAUUAACCACAUGUUCAGGAGCAACGGUUUAAUGAAAUGGCUGAACAGACUGAUGGAAAUUCUGAGGAUAACUAUUGGAAGCUGCGUUGGUAACUCCUUUUCCCUAUGGCUCUGCUUUUUAACCGAUGGAAAAGAGGUUGAUACACCGCCACGCUGAUACGAAAAACAACAAUUGAGUUUUUGUAAGACAUAGAGAACAAAGGAGCCUUAAAAGAUAAGAAAGUGAUUCAUGUUUCGCAAAUGUUACUGUGUGGAAUCAUUCAAGUGUUAUUAUUUUAUAAUUUUGAUUUAGUUAUAUAAUGAGCAAAUUAGCUGGGAGACAAGGAAUCAGAGAGAAAUAAGUUUUUUAGUAAAAUCCAUAACAAUGAUAAUUUUAGCCA